GGGGAAUAUUGCGCAAUGGGCGAAAGCCUGACGCAGCAACGCCGUGUGAGGGAUGAAGGCUUUCGGGUCGUAAACCUCUGUCAGAAGGGAAGAACGGGUGGUGGUCUAAUAGGCCUCCAUUUUGACGGUACCUUCAGAGGAAGCACCGGCUAACUCCGUGCCAGCAGCCGCGGUAAUACGGAGGGUGCAAGCGUUAUUCGGAAUUACUGGGCGUAAAGCGCACGUAGGCCGCUUUGUAAGUCAGGGGUGAAAUCCCACGGCUCAACCGUGGAACUGCCCUUGAAACUGCGAAGCUUGAAUCCUGGAGAGGGUGGCGGAAUUCCUGGUGUAGGAGUGAAAUCCGUAGAUAUCAGGAGGAACACCGGUGGCGAAGGCGGCCACCUGGACAGGUAUUGACGCUGAGGUGCGAAAGUGUGGGGAGCAAACAG
rnacentral:rRNA from 1 species